AGUACAGACGGCGCCGGCGACGGCGGUAGCGACGGCAGCGUCGGACUCGGCUCGGAGUGAGUGAGAUAGAGAUGAGUGAGGGAGCGUGCGGGAGACAGAGAGGAGAAGCUCGGGAGACACAGGAGCUCGGGCGCGGGUACAGUCGGCGACGGCGGCGUCGGCAGCGACGGCGGUGUCGUACUCGGGUCGGAGUGAGUGAGAUAGAGAGGAGUGAGGGAGUGUGCGGGAGACAAAGAGGAGAAGCUCGCGCGCGGGUGAGCGAGAGAAAAAGAAAAGGGGCUCGGGCGGGGUGGCUUGUAUAUUGAUUAAGGGCGGUGAAUGGUUCACCGCUUUUAAAAGCG
rnacentral:lncRNA from 1 species